UUCUGGUUGAUCCCGCCGGAGGCCACUGCUAUCAGAGUUCGAUUAAGCCAUGCGAGUCGAGAGGUGCAAGACCUCGGCAUACUGCUCAGUAACACGUGGACAAUCUAACCUACGGAAGAGGAUAACCCCGGGAAACUGGGGAUAAUACUCUAUAGACUAUGGAAGCUGGAAUGCUCUGUAGCCGAAAGGUCCGCCGCCGUAGGAUGGGUCUGCGGCCGAUUAGGUUGUUGUUGGGGUAACGGCCCAACAAGCCUGUAAUCGGUACGGGUUGUGGGAGCAAGAGCCCGGAGAUGGAUUCUGAGACACGAAUCCAGGCCCUACGGGGCGCAGCAGGCGCGAAAACUUUACAAUGCGGGAAACCGUGAUAAGGGAACUCUGAGUGCCCGUUAAAUCGGGCUGUCCAUCAGUUUAAAAAACUGGUGAGAAAGGGCCGGGCAAGACCGGUGCCAGCCGCCGCGGUAAUACCGGCGGCUCGAGUGGUGGCCACUAUUACUGGGCUUAAAGCGUUCGUAGCUGGUUUGUUAAGUCUCUGGGGAAAUCUUCCGGCUUAACCGGAAGGCGUCUCAGGGAUACUGGCAGACUAGGGACCGGAAGAGGUGAGAGGUACUCCAGGGGUAGGAGUGAAAUCCUGUAAUCCUUGGGGGACCACCUGUGGCGAAGGCGUCUCACCAGGACGGCUCCGACAGUGAGGGACGAAAGCUGGGGGAGCAAACCGGAUUAGAUACCCGGGUAGUCCCAGCCGUAAACGAUGUGCAUUAGGUGUAUCGGUGACCACGAGUCACCGAGGUGCCGAAGAGAAAUCGUGAAAUGCACCGCCUGGGAAGUACGGUCGCAAGGCUGAAACUGAAAGGAAUUGGCGGG
rnacentral:rRNA from 1 species